GUUUCCACCGACCCCAUCUCGCUCCAACCACCCGCGAUUCCGCCUCGCACCCGCCCUAGGCACCGUAGCACUCCCUCGCACCGGACCCUGGCACCUCUCCCCCACGCUCUGAAAGAUCCACGCCUAAUGCCACCUGGUCGGGCGACCCUCGCCCUCCUGCCGAAGUCCGGAGAACUGAAUAUAAUUUGUCCUGUUGUAAAUAAAUCACUUACCUUUUCCA